GCAUGUGUAGCUCAGUGGUAGAGCAUCAGUCUUGUAAACUGAAGGUCCACCGUUUGAUCCUGCGUUUUGGCA
rfam:Brassica rapa chromosome A4, whole genome shotgun sequence.